rnacentral:rRNA from 1 species
GACAGAGGGUGCAAACGUUGUUCGGAAUUACUGGGCGUAAGCGCGUGUAGGCGGCUCGGCAAGUCGGGUGUGAAAGCCCUGGGCUUAACCUGGGAAUUGCAUUCGAGACUGAAUAGCUAGGGUACGGUAGAGGGAAGUGGAAUUUCCGGUGUAGCGGUGAAAUGCGUAGAUAUCGGAAGGAACAUCAGUGGCGAAAGCGACUUCCUGGACCAGUACCGACGUUCAGGCACGAAAGCGUGGGGAGCAAACAGG